rnacentral:rRNA from 1 species
UACGUAGGUGGCAAGCGUUUGUCCGGAAUUACUGGGUGUAAAGCGCGUGUAGGCGGCAGACCAAGUCGGCGGUGAAAGCGCCCGGCUCAACUGGGCGAGGUCCGUGGAAACUGGUCAGCUGGAGGACGGUAGAGGCGAGUGGAAUUCCCGGUGUAGUGGUGAAAUGCGUAGAGAUCGGGAGGAACACCUGUGGCGAAGGCGGCUCUCUGGGACGGUACUGACGCUGAGACGCGAAAGCGUGGGGAGCGAACAGG